GUCAGGAUGGCCGAGUGGUCUAAGGCGCCAGACUCAAGGUGAACACCUUACCUCCGGGUGUUCUGGUCUCCGAAUGGAGGCGUGGGUUCGAAUCCCACUUCUGACA
rnacentral:tRNA from 1 species